GCCCCGGCGCCCCCCGCCAGCCUGCAGCGGCGCGCAUCUGCGGCGUCUCCCCCGGGCCGCUGCGGAGUCGCGGCGGGGAAGGGGUUUGCGUGGGUUCCCUCAGCCGGGGGUCGGCUUCGCCCCAGCCGCAGCCCCAGCCCCAGCCCCAGCCCCGAGGUUGAGGCGCCAUCCUAAUGUGUUUCCGUGCCAGUGAGAUUUUAUCCCAGGAUUAACGAGGCUUCCCGCAUCCACUUUCCGUGCCUUUGCCCAAGAGGCUUCACGAUGGAGUGAUCAGAGACAUUGAGAGACAAAAUCGGAAAAAAGAAAACAUUCGUCUUUUGGGAGAACAGAUUAUUUUGACUGAGCAACUUGAAGCAGAAAGAGAGAAGAUGUUAUUGGCAAAAGGAUCU